rnacentral:rRNA from 1 species
GGUCAAGUGAAGAAGCGCAUACGGUGGAUGCCUUGGCAGUCAGAGGCGAUGAAAGACGUGGUAGCCUGCGAAAAGCUUCGGGGAGUCGGCAAACAGACUUUGAUCCGGAGAUCUCUGAAUGGGGGAACCCACCUAGGAUAACCUAGGUAUCUUGUACUGAAUCCAUAGGUGCAAGAGGCGAACCAGGGGAACUGAAACAUCUAAGUACCCUGAGGAAAAGAAAUCAACCGAGAUUCCCUUAGUAGUGGCGAGCGAACGGGGAUUAGCCCUUAAGCUUCAUUGAUUUUAGCGGAACGCUCUGGAAAGUGCGGCCAUAGUGGGUGAUAGCCCCGUACGCGAAAGGAUCUUUGAAGUGAAAUCGAGUAGGACGGAGCACGAGAAACUUUGUCUGAACAUGGGGGGACCAUCCUCCAAGGCUAAAUACUACUGACUGACCGAUAGUGAACCAGUACCGUGAGGGAAAGGCGAAAAGAACCCCGGAGAGGGGAGUGAAAUAGAACCUGAAACCGUAUGCGUACAAGCAGUGGGAGCCUACUUGUUAGGUGACUGCGUACCUUUUGUAUAAUGGGUCAGCGACUUAUAUUCAGUGGCAAGCUUAACCGUAUAGGGUAGGCGUAGCGAAAGCGAGUCUUAAUAGGGCGUUUAGUCGCUGGGUAUAGACCCGAAACCGGGCGAUCUAUCCAUGAGCAGGUUGAAGGUUAGGUAACACUGACUGGAGGACCGAACCCACUCCCGUUGAAAAGGUAGGGGAUGACUUGUGGAUCGGAGUGAAAGGCUAAUCAAGCUCGGAGAUAGCUGGUUCUCCUCGAAAGCUAUUUAGGUAGCGCCUCAUGUAUCACUCUGGGGGGUAGAGCACUGUUUCGGCUAGGGGGUCAUCCCGACUUACCAAACCGAUGCAAACUCCGAAUACCCAGAAGUGCCGAGCAUGGGAGACACACGGCGGGUGCUAACGUCCGUCGUGAAAAGGGAAACAACCCAGACCGCCAGCUAAGGUCCCAAAGUUGUGGUUAAGUGGUAAACGAUGUGGGAAGGCUUAGACAGCUAGGAGGUUGGCUUAGAAGCAGCCAUNNNNNNNNNNNNNNNNNNNNNNNNNNNNNNNNNNNNNNNNNNNNNNNNNNNNNNNNNNNNNNNNNNNNNNNNNNNNNNNNNNNNNNNNNNNNNNNGACCCCUUUAAAGAAAGCGUAAUAGCUCACUAGUCGAGUCGGCCUGCGCGGAAGAUGUAACGGGGCUCAAACCACACACCGAAGCUGCGGGUGUCACGUAAGUGACGCGGUAGAGGAGCGUUCUGUAAGCCUGUGAAGGUGAGUUGAGAAGCUUGCUGGAGGUAUCAGAAGUGCGAAUGCUGACAUGAGUAACGACAAUGGGUGUGAAAAACACCCACGCCGAAAGACCAAGGGUUCCUGCGCAACGUUAAUCGACGCAGGGUUAGUCGGUUCCUAAGGCGAGGCUGAAAAGCGUAGUCGAUGGGAAACAGGUUAAUAUUCCUGUACUUCUGGUUACUGCGAUGGAGGGACGGAGAAGGCUAGGCCAGCUUGGCGUUGGUUGUCCAAGUUUAAGGUGGUAGGCUGAAAUCUUAGGUAAAUCCGGGGUUUCAAGGCCGAGAGCUGAUGACGAGUCGUCUUUUAGAUGACGAAGUGGUUGAUGCCAUGCUUCCAAGAAAAGCUUCUAAGCUUCAGGUAACCAGGAACCGUACCCCAAACCGACACAGGUGGUCGGGUAGAGAAUACCAAGGCGCUUGAGAGAACUCGGGUGAAGGAACUAGGCAAAAUGGCACCGUAACUUCGGGAGAAGGUGCGCCGGCUAGGGUGAAGGAUUUACUCCGUAAGCUCUGGCUGGUCGAAGAUACCAGGCCGCUGCGACUGUUUAUUAAAAACACAGCACUCUGCAAACACGAAAGUGGACGUAUAGGGUGUGACGCCUGCCCGGUGCCGGAAGGUUAAUUGAUGGGGUUAGCGCAAGCGAAGCUCUUGAUCGAAGCCCCGGUAAACGGCGGCCGUAACUAUAACGGUCCUAAGGUAGCGAAAUUCCUUGUCGGGUAAGUUCCGACCUGCACGAAUGGCGUAACGAUGGCGGCGCUGUCUCCACCCGAGACUCAGUGAAAUUGAAAUCGCUGUGAAGAUGCAGUGUAUCCGCGGCUAGACGGAAAGACCCCGUGAACCUUUACUGUAGCUUUGCACUGGACUUUGAGCCUGCUUGUGUAGGAUAGGUGGGAGGCUUUGAAGCGUGGACGCCAGUUCGCGUGGAGCCAUCCUUGAAAUACCACCCUGGCAUGCUUGAGGUUCUAACUCUGGUCCGUGAUCCGGAUCGAGGACAGUGUAUGGUGGGCAGUUUGACUGGGGCGGUCUCCUCCUAAAGAGUAACGGAGGAGUACGAAGGUGCGCUCAGACCGGUCGGAAAUCGGUCGCAGAGUAUAAAGGCAAAAGCGCGCUUGACUGCGAGACAGACACGUCGAGCAGGUACGAAAGUAGGUCUUAGUGAUCCGGUGGUUCUGUAUGGAAGGGCCAUCGCUCAACGGAUAAAAGGUACUCCGGGGAUAACAGGCUGAUACCGCCCAAGAGUUCAUAUCGACGGCGGUGUUUGGCACCUCGAUGUCGGCUCAUCACAUCCUGGGGCUGAAGCCGGUCCCAAGGGUAUGGCUGUUCGCCAUUUAAAGUGGUACGCGAGCUGGGUUUAGAACGUCGUGAGACAGUUCGGUCCCUAUCUGCCGUGGACGUUUGAGAUUUGAGAGGGGCUGCUCCUAGUACGAGAGGACCGGAGUGGACGAACCUCUGGUGUUCCGGUUGUCACGCCAGUGGCAUUGCCGGGUAGCUAUGUUCGGAAAAGAUAACCGCUGAAAGCAUCUAAGCGGGAAACUUGCCUCAAGAUGAGAUCUCACUGGGAACUUGAUUCCCCUGAAGGGCCGUCGAAGACUACGACGUUGAUAGGCUGGGUGUGUAAGCGUUGUGAGGCGUUGAGCUAACCAGUACUAAUUGCCCGUGAGGCUUGACCAU